CUGAAAGAGGUCAAGUGCUAAUGGCACAGUAUGCUAAAAUCUUUGGGGUCGUCAGUAUUUUUGCUCUGCUCUAUGUAUGGUUGUCAGUCGACUCUCCAAUGUUGGUGUCAGUAACUAUCAGAUGUUAAGUGUCUCGAAAACUUUCUGAUAAUUGUGGUAUUUGCUUUGUAAUGGUAAUCGUGAAAUUGGUGUGGUUGUGUUUUGGUCAAUGCCUCGGCUUUUACUCAAUAGUUGAAACAAGAGAUUUUGCCCUGUGAUUCUAUCAGAUUAUCUUGUGUCUUUUGUAACACAGCAAAUGAGCAAAGCAAAAUGAUCAAUCAUCGUUUGAUAAGAAUCAUUUGAAAUCAAGAAC
rnacentral:lncRNA from 1 species